rnacentral:rRNA from 1 species
UACGUAGGGUGCAAGCGUUAUCCGGAAUUAUUGGGCGUAAAGAGCUCGUAGGCGGUUUGUCGCGUCUGCCGUGAAAGUCCGGGCUCAACUCCGGAUCUGCGGUGGGUACGGGCAGACUAGAGUGCAGUAGGGGAGACUGGAAUUCCCGGUGUGCGGUGAAAUGCGUAGAGAUCGGGAGGAACAUCAGUGGCGAAGGCGGCCAUCUGGACAACACUGACGCUGAGCACGAAGCGUG